rnacentral:rRNA from 1 species
GACAGAGGUGCCGAGCGUUAGGCGGAAUCACUGGGCUUAAAGCGUGUGUAGGCGGGCGGGCAAGUACCUUGUGAAAUCCCACGGCUCAACCGUGGAACGGCUGGGUAUACUGCCUGUCUCGAGCCAACUAGGGGCGAGCGGAACAGACGGUGGAGCGGUGAAAUGCGUAGAUAUCGUCUGGAACGCCAAAGGUGAAAACAGCUCGCUGGGGUUGUGCUGACGCUGAGACACGAAAGCCAGGGGAGCGAACGGG